rnacentral:rRNA from 1 species
UACGGAGGGUGCGAGCGUUGUCCGGAAUCACUGGGCGUAAAGGGCGCGUAGGUGGCGUCGCAAGUCAACGGUGAAAGCUCGACGCUCAACGUCGAGUCGGCCGUCGAGACUGCGAGGCUUGAGCACUGUAGAGGCAGAUGGAAUUCCGGGUGUAGCGGUGGAAUGCGUAGAGAUCCGGAAGAACACCAGUGGCGAAGGCGGCCCGCUGGGCAGUGGCUGACGCUGAGGCGCGACAGCGUGGGGAGCAAACAGG